AAUGAUUUCUUCGGAAUGAAUUCUUUAAAACCGAGUGGCGGACGGGUGAGUAACACGUGGGUAACCUGCCCUUAAGUAGGGGAUAACAUUUGGAAACAGAUGCUAAUACCGUAUAAACCUCAGAAACACAUGUUUCUGAGUUGAAAGGCGGCUUUCGAGCUGUCGCUUUUGGAUGGACCCGCGGCGUAUUAGCUAGUUGGUGAGGUAAAGGCUCACCAAGGCAGUGAUACGUAGCCGACCUGAGAGGGUGAUCGGCCACAUUGGGACUGAGACACGGCCCAAACUCC
rnacentral:rRNA from 1 species